GGUUUGGUACUUUAAGCUUAAAAGGCGAUAUUUGCAUUAUCGUAAUGAGGUGUUACUUCUCAAACCU
rnacentral:tRNA from 1 species